rnacentral:rRNA from 1 species
CCUACGGGAGGCAGCAGUGAGGAAUAUUGGUCAAUGGACGAGAGUCUGAACCAGCCAAGUAGCGUGAAGGAUGACUGCCCUAUGGGUUGUAAACUUCUUUUAUAAAGGAAUAAAACGAGGCACGUGUGCCUUUUUGCAUGUCCUUUAUGAAUAAGGAUCGGCUAACUCCGUGCCAGCAGCAGCGGUAAUACGGAGGAUCCGAGGGUUAUCCGGAUUUCUUGGGUUUAAAGGGAGCGUAGAUGGGUUGUUAAGUCAGUUGUGAAAGUUUGCGGCUCAACCGUAAAAUUGCAAUUGAUACUGGCAGUCUUGAGUACAGUUGAGGUAGGCGGAAUUCGUGGUGUAGCGGUGAAAUGCUUAGAUAUCACGAAGAACCCCGAUUGCGAAGGCAGCUUACUAAACUGUGACUGACAUUGAUGCUCGAAAGUGUGGGUAUCAAACAGGAUUAGAUACCCUGGUAGUC